rnacentral:misc_RNA from 1 species
UAGGAAAAAAAAAUGAAGGUUGCAGCAAUCGAUUUGCGUUUUCAGCUCUCAGCUUAUUGUGACAGCGCCCCCACUUUCUCCGUUUCUCACUCCGUCGCCAUCCUGUCACCAGUUGCUACCUGAUGUAUGUCUCCCCUUUCUUGUCCCUCACCAUCGGCGAUGCNNNNNCGAUUAAUUUUUUAUUAUUAUUUUCAGCUGCUAAUGGUCCAUCGCAAUACCAGAUCUCC